rnacentral:rRNA from 1 species
UACGGAAGGCAGCAGUGGGGAAUAUUGCACAAUGGGCGCAAGCCUGAUGCAGCCAUGCCGCGUGUAUGAAGAAGGCCUUCGGGUUGUAAAGUACUUUCAGUCGUGAGGAAGGUGUUAAGGUUAAUAACCUUAGCAAUUGACGUUAGCGACAGAAGAAGCACCGGCUAACUCCGUGCCAGCAGCCGCGGUAAUACGGAGGGUGCGAGCGUUAAUCGGAAUUACUGGGCGUAAAGGGCACGCAGGCGGUUAAUUAAGUUGGAUGUGAAAUCCCCGGGCUUAACCUGGGAAUGGCAUUCAAGACUGGUUAGCUAGAGUCUUGUAGAGGGGGUAGAAUUCCAUGUGUAGCGGUGAAAAUGCGUAGAGAUGUGGAGGAAAUACCGGGUGGCGAAAGGCGGCCCCUGGGACAAAGACUGACGCUCAUGUGCGAAAAGCUGGGGAGCAAAACAGGAUUAGAUACC